rnacentral:tRNA from 1 species
AGCCAGAUAGCUCAGUGGUAGAGCACCUGACUAGAGAUUCAGUGGGCCCAGGUUCGAAACCCAGUCUGGUCU